UAGGGAAUCUUCCGCAAUGGACGCAAGUCUGACGGAGCGACGCCGCGUGUGUGAAGAAGGUCUUCGGAUCGUAAAGCACUGUUAUUAGAGAAGAACAACCGGUAGAGUAACUGUUACCGGCUUGACGGUAUCUAACCAGAACGCCACGGCUAACUACGUGCCAGCAGCCGCGGUAAUACGUAGGUGGCAAGCGUUGUCCGGAUUUAUUGGGCGUAAAGGGAGCGCAGGCGGUGACUUAAGUCUGAUGUGAAAGCCCACGGCUCAACCGUGGAAGGUCAUUGGAAACUGGGUCACUUGAGUGCAGAAGAGGAAAGUGGAAUUCCAUGUGUAGCGGUGAAAUGCGUAGAUAUAUGGAGGAACACCAGUGGCGAAGGCGACUUUCUGGUCUGUAACUGACGCUGAGGCUCGAAAGCGUGGGGAGCAAACAGG
rnacentral:rRNA from 1 species